rnacentral:lncRNA from 1 species
CGACCAUCUCGCACAAUGGAGCAGGGAUAGGGUGGCGGCGGAGCAAGACUGGGGAGCGAGCAGGGAUGGGGCGGCGGCGGAACAAGGCCGGCGGCGGUGCGGGGAUGGGGCGGCGGUGACGGAGCAAGGCCGGUGGUGGCACGGGGAUGGGGCGGCGACGGCGGAGCAGCUAACAGUGGGUCCCGCAGUUUUUAGGUGAAUGACAAUUGGGACCCACAGUUAACGACACGAAAAUGCUAUCCAUCUCGUUCCUCACCCGUCUCUUCAACCAAACACUAAACUAGGAACGUCCUCAUCCCUCCAACAAGUGGGAUUAUCUCAUCCAAAAAAAGAGGGAUGACCCUGUCCCGUCCCCUCCGUCCCUCCAUUCAAACACACCCUUAGUCCAUGGUCCCUACUUGUUUGGAUCAUGGACUAAAGUCCAUUAAUGCAGAUGACAAAGACCAAAAU